UACGGAGGGUGCAAGCGUUAAUCGGACUUACUGGGCGUAAAGCGCACGCAGGCGGUUUGUUAAGUCAGAUGUGAAAUACCCGGGCUCAACCGGGGAACUGCCUGUGAUACUGGCAAGCUUGAGUCUCGUAGAGGUGGGUAGAAUUCCAGGUGUAGCGGUGAAAUGCGUAGAGAUCUGGAGGAAUACCGAUGGCGAAGGCAGCCCACUGGACUAAGAUUGACGCUGAGGUGCGAAAGCGUGGGGAUCAAACAGG
rnacentral:rRNA from 1 species